rnacentral:rRNA from 1 species
AUUGAACGCUGGCGGCAGGCCUAACACAUGCAAGUCGAGCGGAGCGGCGGACGGGUGAGUAAUGCCUAGGAAUCUGCCUGGUAGUGGGUGAUAACGUCCGGAAACUGGCGCUAAUACCGCAUACUAUCAAAUGAAGCUCGGUCGGAUUGGCUAGUUGGGGGGGUAAAGGCCUACCAAGGCGAUGAUCCGUAACUGGUCUGAGAGGAUGAUCAGGCACACUGGAACUGAGGGACGGUCGAGACUCUGAAGGGAGGCAGCAGUGGGGAAUAUUGGGCAAGGGGCGAAAGCCUGAUACAGCCAUGCGGCGUGAGUGAAGAAGGUCUGAGGAUUGUAAAGCACUGUAAGUUGGGAGGCGUUACCAACAGAAAAAGCCCCGGCUAACUUCGUGCCAGCAGCCGCGGUAAUAC